rnacentral:rRNA from 1 species
CGAACGGGUGAGGAACGCGUGGACAACCUACCCCGGCGUGGGGGAUACCCGCCAGAAAUGGCGGCUAAUACCGCGUACGGUUCUCUGGCGACGGGCUGGGGAAAGAAAGCAGCGAUGCGCGCUGGGAGGGGUCUGCGACCGAUUAGCUUGUUGGCGGGGUAACGGCCCACCAAGGCGAUGAUCGGUAGCUGGUCUGAGAGGAUGAUCAGCCACACGGGGACUGAGACACGGCCCCG